rnacentral:rRNA from 1 species
UACGAAGGGUGCAAGCGUUACUCGGAAUUACUGGGCGUAAAGCGUGCGUAGGUGGUUUGUUAAGUCUGUUGUGAAAGCCCCGGGCUCAACCUGGGAAUGGCAAUGGAUACUGGCAAGCUAGAGUGCGGUAGAGGGUAGUGGAAUUCCCGGGUGUAGCGGUGAAAUGCGUAGAGAUCGGGAGGAACACCAGUGGCGAAGGCGGCUGACCUGGACCGAGCACUGACACUGAGGCACGAAAGCGUGGGGAGCAAACAGG